rnacentral:rRNA from 1 species
GCACAAUGGAGGAAACUCUGAUGCCGCGACGCCGCGUGAGGGAAGAAGGUCUUCGGAUUGUAAACCUCUGUCUUUGGGGACGAAGAAAGUGAAGGUACCCAAAGAGGAAGCCACGGCUAACUACGUGCCAGCAGCCGCGGUAAUACGUAGGUGGCGAGCGUUGUCCGGAAUUACUGGGUGUAAAGGGUGCGUAGGCGGACUGGCAAGUUGGAUGUGAAAUCACCGCGCUUAGCGUGGAGGUUGCAUUCAAAACUGUUGUUCUUGAGGGAGGCAGAGUCAGGCGGAAUUCCCGGUGUCGCGGUGAAAUGCGUAGAGAUCGGGACGAACACCAGUGGCGAAGGCGGCCUGCUGGGCCUUAACUGACGCUGAGGCACGAAAGCAUGGGUAGCAAACA